rnacentral:lncRNA from 1 species
AGAAUAUAGAUAGAAUUUUUUAAGGACUAUGAUUGUGAUAUCUUGUACCAUCCGGGUAAGGAAAACGUGGUAGCUGAUGCAUUCAGCAGAAAAAGUGCAGGUAUCUUAACCCAUUUGAUGGUCUCAGAGUGCAGGUAAAUUAGGACCACACAACAGGUUCGACUUCAGGAAUUGAGGAGAGUCACAUGUUUGGGCCAUUUGACCGUCUAACCUGAGUUAAUCCAGAGGAUAAGGGAAACUCAGUCAGCUGAUCCUGCCCUAGUAGCCCUCAAGAACAAUGCAUAACAGGGAGUUAGCAUAGAAUUCUAAGUCUCCGCCGAUAGGUU